GCCUCUAUAAUUCAAUUGGAUAGAAUACUUCCUUGCGGAGGAAGAUAUCGGGGUUCGAGUCCUCGUGGGGGCA
rnacentral:tRNA from 1 species